GACGAACGCUGGCGGCGUGCCUAAUACAUGCAAGUCGAACGCAGUGGGGACGGGUGAGUAACACGUUGGUAACCUCCCAUCAGAGGGGAUACCACUUGGAAACAGGUGCUAAACCGAUACUGAUGGAUGGACCCGCGGUGCAUGAGCUAGUUGGUGAGGUAACGGCUCACCAAGGCCACGAAGCAUAGCCGACCUGAGAGGGGGGUCGGCCACACGGGGACGGAUACAAGGCCCAGACUCCUGCGGUAGGCAGCAGUAGGGAACAUUCGGCAAGGGACGAAAGUCUGACCGAGCAACGCCGCGUGAGGGAAGCAGGUUUUCGGAUCGUAAAACUCUGUUGUUAGAUCAGCGGUAUCUAACCAGAAAGCCACGGCUAACUACGUGCCAGCAGCCGCGGUAAUAC
rnacentral:rRNA from 1 species